UCCGGUUUGUCACCGGCAGUCUGGCGUGAGUCCCCAACUUAAUGCUGGCAACACGCCACAGAGGUUGCGCUCGUUGCGGGACUUAACCCAACAUCUCACGACACGAGCUGACGACAACCAUGCACCACCUGCGCAGGACCCUUGCGGACCUCACAUCUCUACGGCUUUUCCCUGCAUGUCAAGCCUAGGUAAGGUUCUUCGCGUUGCAUCGAAUUAAGCAACAUGCUCCGCCGCUUGUGCGGGCCCCCGUCAAUUCCUUUGAGUUUUAGCCUUGCGGCCGUACUCCCCAGGCGGGGCACUUAAUGCGUUAGCUACGGCACGGAGACCGUCGAUAGGUCCCCACACCUAGUGCCCAACGUUUACGGCAUGGACUAC
rnacentral:misc_RNA from 1 species